rnacentral:rRNA from 1 species
UACGAGGGGGGCGAGCGUUGUUCGGAAUUAUUGGGCGUAAAGGGUGCGUAGGCGGCCUGACAAGUCUGAUGUGAAAUCCCUGGGCUCAACCCAGGGCCUGCAUCGGAAACUGUCGGGCUUGAGUAUGGGAGAGGUGAGUGGAAUUUCCGGUGUAGCGGUGAAAUGCGUAGAUAUUCGGAAGAACACCAGUGGCGAAGGCGGCUCACUGGACCGGCAUUGACGCUGAGGUGCGAAAGCGUGGGGAGCAAACAGG